AACCUGCUCUGUAGCAUAAGCUAUGGAUGACUUAUCAAAACAAUACAUUUCCCUCUCAGGUCAAGCCUUCAACCCUCAUCACAAGGAAAGAUGGAUUUUCUACAGGCUCCCUGCCCACUCUGUGGUGUGUCUCCUUCCUUUCAUCUGUUCUGAUUGUGAGAAGUGGACCAUGCCCAGAGGAACGCUUGAGUCCUGGCAUUGCUAACCUGCAGCUGAACCUUUAUCCAAACCCUUUAGUGUCUUACGUUCUC
rnacentral:lncRNA from 11 species